rnacentral:rRNA from 1 species
GACGAACGCUGGCGGCGUGCCUAACACAUGCAAGUUGAGCGACGAACCAGGGCUUGCCCUGGGGCAAAGCAGCGAACGGGUGAGUAACACGUGGGUAACCUGCCCCGAUGAUCGGGACAACCCGAGGAAACUCGGGCUAAUACCGAAUGUGCCCGCCGGACACCAGUCCGGCGCGUAAAGGAAGCUUCGGCCUCCGCAUCGGGAGGGGCCCGCGGCCCAUUAGCUUGUUGGUGAGGUAACGGCUCACCAAGGCAACGAUGGGUAGCUGGUCUGAGAGGACGAUCAGCCACACUGGGACUGAGACACGGCCCAGACUCCUACGGGAGGCAGCAGUGGGGAAUCUUGCGCAAUGCGCGAAAGCGUGACGCAGCAACGCCGCGUGGGGGAAGAAGGCCUUCGGGUUGUAAACCCCUUUCAGGAGGGACGAAGGUUCGGCGGUGAAUAGCCGUCCGGACUGACGGUACCUCCACAAGAAGCCCCGGCUAACUACGUGCCAGCAGCCGCCGUAAGAC